UAUAUUUUAGUAUUAGAAGUACACAGGUUUUUGAUAUCUGAGGGGGUGGUUUAUUUCCAUUAAAUAUAA
rnacentral:tRNA from 1 species